GCCCGAAUCCGGAAGAAACGACCUAAUGUAAUUGUAACUUGCCCUUGAUUGGCACAAUUUAUGAAAGAAGUUCCAUUUAGAACGAAGAUCUUUUUCAAGUUGGAAAUUCCUAGGAGAAGGGUCUUCAAGGGCUUGUACAUACACAUCCAUUAACAAACAAAAUGUGAGAGAUUAGAAGCAAUGCUUCCGGCCUGAAUCCAAGCUUCAUUCACCAACUAAAGGAAGUUAGGGUGUUUUGUGAGGUAGUUGAAGAAUUUAUACGAUUUGGUUUGAACUUUUGGUAACUGGUAGGCAAGGUCAACUAGCUAGGCUAGGAAAGCCAGAUGGUAAAGGUGGAAGGCAGGUUGUUGUACAAUUGAGAAACAGCGAGAGCCAGUGGUUGUUUACAAGAACACGGUCAAUCUUCUUAGCAAUAGAGGAGGAUGGGCCUUGGAAUCGCAUGUCAAACAGUUCGAGCUGAUUAAGGCUGUCCCUGAACUCAGUCAUAGACGCAGUGAUAAAGUUCACACGUGGUGAGGAGUGCUCUUCAAAAUGGAUAAUCUGAUUAAAGGAAAUGGAUUUGUUAUGCCAUUAUUUUCUUCAUUGUCGUUUGCACUUUGCUUCUCAUACCAACC